AUGAGUAUACUUGGAAGCACGAAAAAUAUAAUUUCCCUCGGUAACCGUAACGCUCUUUAGAGCUUGAGGAAUAGUUAUUAGGAUUUUUAAAUUUUCAACGGAUUUUUUCCCGGUGUUUCGAAUACGUACUUCGAACCUUCCAUCCAACUUAUUUUUUGCUUCAACAACAACAGGCAAAGAUUUCUGGGUAGCAAAGUCUGUUUGAAAAGAAGCUAAUGUAAAUUUUCCGUCCGGUGGAAUGAAUUCAAUCUGAUCCGGAUGUUGUUUCCAUCUUUUUAAAUUGACUGACUGGUGGAACCGAACAUUCCCUAGUUUUGUGCCGGGUCUCAAACUCAGCAAAAGUAAAGGCAUACCAGAUAUUUGACAUUUGCAUUCCAUAUCACUUUUAACUGUGCCAAAAGCAAGUUUUCCGUUAGGCUGGUAAACGGCUGAUACGCGUUCAAGUACAUGAAUAAAAAAUUCAUUGGUUGCAUAUUUUGCUUUAGCUGUUCUCCAAGGAACGGUAUCUCUUGCAAGAGUCGGUGUAUUUCUAAAUCAUGCGGUUAGCACUGCAAAAACAGAAAACUAAAUAACAUACGUUUGUAGACCAGUAACUGCCAUAAACUUAUUCAUAAAGCUAGGGAGUGGUACAAUGUCCUGCAAUGCAUUUGGUUCCAUACAAGUUGCAUAUCCAUAAUCAAUCAUUUCAGCUAAUAGCUGGACAAUAACGCAAACAUUUUUCUCGACCUUUGAAGCAUUAAACCCACCAAAAAAUGUUUUAACUACAUCCACAAUGCGUCUCAUAAUAUCAUGAAUGUAGAGAGGCUCAGUGUCGCAAGUUGUAGGAAUACACAAACG